rnacentral:rRNA from 1 species
CAGCCAUGCCGCGUGUNGUGAAGAAGGUCUUCGGAUUGUAAAGCACUUUAAGUUGGGAGGAAGGGCAGUAAGUUAAUACCUUGCUGUUUUGACGUUACCGACAGAAUAAGCACCGGCUAACUCUGUGCCAGCAGCCGCGGUAAUACAAAGGGUGCAAGCGUUAAUCGGAAUUACUGGGCGUAAAGCGCGCGUAGGUGGUUCGUUAAGUUGGAUGUGAAAGCCCCGGGCUCAACCUGGGAACUGCAUCCAAAACUGGCGAGCUAGAGUAUGGUAGAGGGUGGUGGAAUUUCCUGUGUAGCGGUGAAAUGCGUAGAUAUAGGAAGGAACACCAGUGGCGAAGGCGACCACCUGGACUGAUACUGACACUGAGGUGCGAAAGCGUGGGGAGCAAACAGGAUUAGAAACCCUUGUAGUCCAGACCAAGUCUNGGCUUACCGUAA